UCUGUCGGACCGGGCUCUGCUGCUGGUGGGCCAGCGGAUGGGCGUCGGUCGGUCGGUCGGUCGGUCGGUUGGUCGGCUGC
rnacentral:miRNA from 1 species